UACGGAGGGUGCAAGCGUUAUCCGGAUUCACUGGGUUUAAAGGGUGCGUAGGCGGGUAAGUAAGUCAGUGGUGAAAUCUUCAAGCUUAACUUGGAAACUGCCAUUGAUACUAUUUAUCUUGAAUGUUCUGGAGGUCAGCGGAAUAUGUCAUGUAGCGGUGAAAUGCUUAGAUAUGACAUAGAACACCUAUUGCGAAGGCAGCUGACUACGGAAAUAUUGACGCUGAGGCACGGAAAGCGUGGGGAUCAAACAGGA
rnacentral:rRNA from 1 species